rnacentral:rRNA from 1 species
UACGUAGGGUGCAAGCGUUGUCCGGAAUUAUUGGGCGUAAAGAGCUCGUAGGUGGUUUGUCGCGUUGUCCGUGAAAUUCCCUGGCUUAACUGGGGGCGUGCGGGCGAUACGGGCAGACUGGAGUACUGCAGGGGAGACUGGAAUUCCUGGUGUAGCGGUGGAAUGCGCAGAUAUCAGGAGGAACACCGGUGGCGAAGGCGGGUCUCUGGGCAGUAACUGACGCUGGAGGAGCGAAAAGCGUGGGGAGCGAACAGGAU